CCCAAGCUGCUGGCUACAGCAGAGGCAGAGACUGUGAUCUACUGCAUUCCAGCGAAGAGGCAGAGGAAGGGCUGGUGAGACUGAGAAACUGGCUUCGAGGCUCCAUUUCCUGCAGGCUUUUCCACAUCGGUUAGAUGUGGGUGACCAGACCACACCGGGGAGCCUUCUCCAAGAUGGAAGGAGGCUUCGUCCUUUAAUUACCACAUGAAAGAAGCUACCCCACCAAACUGAACACCUACCCAGGACUGAUAACCGGGGUAAGAAAUGAGCUUCUCUAUUUGCUGGCCAUGGAAAUCUGAGUGUCUUUUAAGUACCAUGGUCUAGUCUACCACCCUCAGAACCCUGACCUGGUCAUCCUUAUAGUCAGGACUAGCUUCUCCCACAUGACCUGAGUCCUG